UAUAGGAUAGCCACUAGAAAUGGUGGGUAAUACUGUAUAAUCCCUGCGGGGGAAAGAUUUAUCGCUAUUAGAUGAGCCUAUGUCAGAUUAGCUAGUUGGUGGGGUAAUGGCCCACCAAGGCUGUGAUCUGUAGCUGGUCUGAGAGGAUGAUCAGCCACACUGGAACUGAGACACGGUCCAGACUCCUACGGGAGGCAGCAGUGGGGAAUAUUGGACAAUGGGCGCAAGCCUGAUCCAGCUAUGCCGCGUGAGUGAGGAAGGCCUUAGGGUUGUAAAACUCUUUCAGUAGGGAAGAUAAUGACGGUACCUACAGAAGAAGUCCCGGCAAACUCCGUGCCAGCAGCCGCGGUAAUACGGAGGGGGCAAGCGUUGUUCGGAACUAUUGGGCGUAAAGGGCAUGUAGGCGGUUUGGUAAGUUAAAGGUGAAAUACCAGGGCUUAACCCUGGGGCUGCUUUUAAUACUGCAGGACUAGAGUCCGGA
rnacentral:rRNA from 1 species